rnacentral:rRNA from 1 species
UACGGAGGAGGCAAGCGUUAUCCGGAAUUAUUGGGCGUAAAGAGCUCGUAGGUGGUUCGGUAAGUCGGGUGUUAAACCCCCAGGCUCAACCUGGGGACGCCACUCGAUACUGCUGUGACUUGAGUCCAGUAGGGGAGCGUGGAAUUCCUGGUGUAGCGGUGAAAUGCGCAGAUAUCAGGAGGAACACCAGCGGCGAAGGCGGCGCUCUGGGCCGGUACUGACACUGAGGAGCGAAAGCGUGGGUAGCAAACAGG